UGGGGAAUUUUGGACAAUGGGCGAAAGCCUGAUCCAGCAAUGCCGCGUGUGUGAAGAAGGCCUUCGGGUUGUAAAGCACUUUUGUCCGGAAAGAAAUCCUUGGCUCUAAUACAGUCGGGGGAUGACGGUACCGGAAGAAUAAGCACCGGCUAACUACGUGCCAGCAGCCGCGGUAAUACGUAGGGUGCAAGCGUUAAUCGGAAUUACUGGGCGUAAAGCGUGCGCAGGCGGUUUGCUAAGACCGAUGUGAAAUCCCCGGGCUCAACCUGGGAACUGCAUUGGUGACUGGCAGGCUAGAGUAUGGCAGAGGGGGGUUAGAAUUCCACGUGUAGCAGUGAAAUGCGUAGAGAUGUGGAGGAAUACCGAUGGCGAAGGCAGCCCCCUGGGCCAAUACUGACGCUCAUGCACGAAAGCGUGGGGAGCAAACAGGAUUAGAUACCCCUGGUAGUCCACGCCCUAAACGAUGUCAACUAGUUGUUGGGGAUUCAUUCCUUAGUAACGUAGCUAACGCGUGAAGUUGACCGCCGGGGANUACGGUCGCAAGAUUAAAACUCAAAGGAAUUGACGGGG
rnacentral:rRNA from 1 species